UACGUAGGGUGCAAGCGUUGUCCGGAAUUUAUUGGGCGUAAAGAGCUCGUAGGCGGUCUGUCGCGUCGGCUGUGAAAACCCGAGGCUCAACCUCGGGCCUGCAGUCGAUACGGGCAAACUAGAGUACUGCAGGGGAGACUGGAAUUCCUGGUGUAGCGGUGAAAUGCGCAGAUAUCAGGAGGAACACCGGUGGCGAAGGCGGGUCUCUGGGCAGUAAACUGACGCUGGAGGCAACGAAAGCUAGGGGAGCAAACAGG
rnacentral:rRNA from 1 species